UCUGCCCCUACAUCAUUGCAAGUGUGGCUGUUGUGUUACAUAUGCAUAAGUAGGUGGCAGAGAGGAGAGAGGCUAUGUCUAAGCUCUGUGUUCUGGCCUGCGAACAUCUGAAUGAUUAAGAGUCUAACACA